CGACUCAACAUGGCACAUAGUUAAUUAGUGAACGGGGCAAGGAGUCGGAGUACUACUCUACUCUCUAUUGUAGGAACCGAUCUAGUAGAAUCUGUAUCUGGAUUUUUGGCAAACUUCUGCAUUGCAUGUAAUGUAGUUUGUCUUGUCUACGUUGGGCACGAAGCUGUUUCUUCUACUUACCUUGUUUAGGGUUCCAUCCAGCCAGUCGUCUGAUGUAGCCAUCGAAAUAGAUGAGAUCAGUUUAUGCUGUGCUCGCAGAAUUGAAAAUCUCCUAAGUGCUAUGCAGUACUACAGACAGCAAACGAAGGAUUGGGUGAUUCUGAUGCUAUGUAGUAUAUACGUCGUACUUUGCGAAUGUAUCCAUCCCUUGAGCCCUAAGCUGUAUUGUACUCCAGAGAGGCUACACAGCCCCCGUGGAGUCUGGCAGUCUUACUCUGUACCUGGAUACAAACUGAAUUGUGACUAUUCAUUCUUAUUAUUCAGAACAUAGGGAUUAUAUUAUUCCAUGAUUAGUAAACAAGGAACUCGUUGGGGGGCAUAUUCGUCGGCAUUACGUGGAAGGAGACGAAGGGAUAACCAACAAACCUGAAUACCCAUUAUUGAUUGAUGAUCAAAUCCAGUACCUAUUACGUAUUAUAACAGUGAUGUCUAUGGCGUAACUAGACUGGACAAAGGUUGCUGCAUUCAUCCAGGUCGAUGAAAACGGCAAGUUACAUUCCAACCCAAUACUACGUAAUUGUGUCGUGAAUAUAUCAUCAGGGCAUAUUGAUAAUCCCAGGCAAACGGCGACCAGUCAGUCCAUCAAUAUGGAUAAGAUCAUAAUCAAUAUAAUUCGGGGGUAUUGGAUCGGGGAAUCCGCUGUACUACAUCCUUGAGUCGAUGGGAAUAUCCCGUUUGGAUAUUAAAAUGUCUCGGCAGAUAUUGUACAAAAAUCGAUCUUGCAUUUAUUUGCCAUCAUGAAGUAUUACUGUUUCAUUUUAGGCCCCUUACUCGGUCUUGUCAAUUGCCUUCUAUAAUUUGUCUCGUUAUGUUUGGCAAUGUAACUCUGGACGACGAGUUCGCAGUUUUACGAGGCUGGUCAAAUAGGCUAAUACUGAAUAAUUAUCCUCUGUCGUCAAACACAGAGGAGAUAAACAUAUCGUCCUUUUCUUCCGAUCUCUUAUUGUGCUACAUCCUAUGUACUACUACGUGCUACUACGUGCUGCGGAGUGGUUAUGAGGUAUGGACGUAGUACGUGUUGAAUCCAGUAGCGGGUAUAAACUGAUCCCCGAAAACAAACGCCUCAAUUUCAGCGACAUGUAAAUGGCUAACUCCAUACUUACAUGAAGUAGACGAGCACAUACGAACUUUUGCACAGCAUGUUCGUGUCAAGGUGUCAUGUUGUCAAAGUCAGAAUAUUUUUGUUGGGAUUGGUUCGUGGACCCUUGCUAGAAGACUAGUGACAUGUCUAUCUACCUUGUUCCUUGUACAUAAGAGCGAUGGCAUGUGUUGAUCGUUCAUUGGUAAAUAAACUCUUCACAUGGAGUCAAAAAAAGGGGAUCAGAGGGGGGAAAUUUUGCUUGUUGACUUGUUGAAUACCUAUUGUUAACGGAACGUAAGCGACUUGCGUGCCCAGAAGUUGAGAGGACGUGGUGGUACAUGGAAGAACCCGACCUGUCUAUUUUGUACAUAAUAAAUUCGUAAGUGUAUUUACAAAAAGGGGAUAAUUUUCGUACGGAUAAAAUUUUAGCCAAGAUAAUACGAAGCUACGUACUUGGGUUAUGAAGAACUCCCAAACGCCGUU
rnacentral:lncRNA from 1 species